GACAGGAAGUGGGUGUGUCCUACAAGGGAGUAGCUGCAACAGGAAGUGACCACAAUUAGGCCAGCCAGACAUCAACCGCAUAACAUUCGUUCUUGUUCUUCUCCUGUGAGCAUUUCUAUGUCAUCUACUGCAAGUUCUGGGAGCUCGACCUGGACGGCGACCUCGCCAUAGACUGGCACACCAAGGGGGAGGUGGUUGUGGCCUGACGUGUGGAGUGGGCGUGGCCUCCGCCUCAAUGGGCGUGGUCUCCAUCACCCUGACCCCGCCCUGCCCUUGCAGCCAUCUCUUCCUGGAUGAUAGACUGCGUCUUCUCUCUCCGGUGCUGUCACCCAGUGAGCAGCCUGGGAGGGCGCAGCCCCUGUGCAGUGCCAGGAAGCUGGGCUAUGCUGAACUCAUGUGGUGCCUGCUCUCAGAGGAGGACAAGAUCACGUGAGGGGCGGUGCCCCAGUCAGCCAUGCCUCCUGCUUGCUCCUUACCUCGCUUCUCUGUGGUCACGCCCACCAACUCUGGCUUCACCCUGACAUGGCCACGCUGAGUACUGGUUCCGCUGCGUGGUGGUCGAGCUCGAGUUCUAUGAGGAGCAGGCCUGGCACAUGGCCCCCCAAGGCAUGGAGCUCCUCCUUUUCUGCCACCUCACGCACCAGGUCGGAUCACGCUUUGUGGCCUGAAGCGCUUGAGCCUGGCAGGUGCCUGGAGGGGUUCUUCCCUCAAGUCUGAGAUGACAGCAGCACAGCAAAGAUAAGAGGCUACAUAAAAUAAGG
rnacentral:lncRNA from 1 species